rnacentral:misc_RNA from 1 species
GAUGAAGAACGUAGCGAAAUGCGAUAAGUAAUGUGAAUUGCAGAAUUCAGUGAAUCAUCGAAUCUUUGAACGCACAUUGCGCCCUCUGGUAUUCCGGGGGGCAUGCCUGUUCGAGCGUCAUUAUAACCACUCAAGCUCUCGCUUGGUAUUGGGGUUCGCGGUUCCGCGGCCCCUAAAAUCAGUGGCGGUGCCUGUCGGCUCUACGCGUAGUAAUACUCCUCGCGAUUGAGUCCGGUAGGUCUACUUGCCAGCAACCCCCAAUUUUUACAGGUUGACCUCGGAUCAGGUAGGGAUACCCGCUGAACUUAAGCAUAUCUAAGCGGAGGA